GAUGAACGCUGACGGCGUGCUUAACACAUGCAAGUCGAACGAAGCGCUUAAACGGAUUUCUUCGAAUUGAAGUUUUUGCGACUGAGUGGCGACGGGUGAGUAACGCGUGGGUAACCUGCCUCACACAGGGGGAUAACAGCUAGAAAUGGCUGCUAAUACCGCAUAAGACCACGGUACCGCAUGGUACGGUGGCAAAAGCUCCGGCGGUGUAAGAUGGGCCCGCGUCUGAUUAGGUAGUUGGUGCGGUAACGGCGCACCAAGCCUGCGAUCAGUAGCCGACCUGAGAGGGUGACCGGCCACAUUGGGACUGAGACACGGCCCAA
rnacentral:rRNA from 1 species